UGAUGAAAAGUGCAGUUGGAAUGUUGGA
rnacentral:piRNA from 1 species